NNCUGGGAGAGCACCUCCCUUACAAGGAGGGGGUCACUGGUUCGAUCCCAGUAACGACCACCA
rnacentral:tRNA from 1 species